AGUGAACGCUGGCGGUAGGCCUAACACAUGCAAGUCGAACGGCAGCACAGUAAGAGCUUGCUCUUACGGGUGGCGAGUGGCGGACGGGUGAGGAAUACAUCGGAAUCUACUUUUUCGUGGGGGAUAACGUAGGGAAACUUACGCUAAUACCGCAUACGACCUACGGGUGAAAGCAGGGGAUCUUCGGACCUUGCGCGAUUGAAUGAGCCGAUGUCGGAUUAGCUAGUUGGCGGGGUAAAGGCCCACCAAGGCGACGAUCCGUAGCUGGUCUGAGUGGAUGAUCAGCCACACUGGAACUGAGACACGGUCCAGACUCCUACGGGAGGCAGCAGUGGGGAAUAUUGGACAAUGGGCGCAAGCCUGAUCCAGCGAUACCGCGUGUGUGAAGAAGGCGUUCGGGUUGUAAAGCCGUUUUGUUGGGAAAGAAAAGCAGCAGGUUAAUACCCCGCUGUUCUGACGGUACCCAAAGAAUAAGCACCGGCUAACUUCGUG
rnacentral:rRNA from 1 species